AUACUUACCUGACAGGGCAGGCACCGUGAUCACUCAGGUGGUCCUCCCAGGGCGAGGCUCAUCCAUCGCACUGCGGGUGGGUUGACCCCUGCGAUUUCCCCAAAUGCGGGAGACUCCACUGUAUAAUUUGUGUUAGUGGGGGGACUGC
rnacentral:snRNA from 1 species